AUGGGAAGGGGCUAUCCUGCGGUCAGUUAUUUUACUUUGUCUUACUGAUGACACUCUUUGACUCUAGUCAUAAAAGUUUACCAUAUGAUUCCUGCUUACUCUGCUAUAUAAAUUACCUCACCUGACUCCAACCUUAUCCAUCCCAUCAAUUUAAUGGCUACCAAACAGCCCUCUCACUUUCUGUCUAUCACACGUAACAUAACAUCCCUCUGAAAACUCCCAAGAGCACAGCCAUCCAGGAUGUAUUGAUUUGCAAUAUUGAUUAUAUAUGUAAGGUUCCCCAUGAGUUAAAUGGUAUGUUUACCAUUUAUAGUGCCAGAGAAUAUUUUGG